UACUUCCUGGUUCAUAGGACAGUGCUCAAUCACAAAGCCAAAUCUGCCAGGAAUAAACACUUGAGAUUUUUAACUUAAGUAAUUUUGUAUAGGCACUGAUUGAAAUUUCAGAAUAUGACAUGUCCCUAUUAUUGCAGCAAUAGCAAAUUAACACUUCAUGUUUUACAAUAUUGGAACAGAAAAUGGGAUUAUGCAAUUGGGUUGAUUUUAACUAUUUUUAUCCAAGCACAUCUAUUUAGAGAAAAUAUCUUUCUAUAGAAAUAUUAAAUUUAUUGACAGAAAAAGUUAUCUUUAGAAAAUGUUCUUCAUUCAUUAUUUUGUGUGGUGGACUGUGUGGUUAUGCUUUCAGAAUUAAAGAUAUCUCUGCUUGAAUAUGUAUUUUUUAAUGCUGAGAAGGAUUACUUGCCCAUGCUCUGUGAGUUUUAAAAAGUCUACCCAGUGGUAAAAUAAUAAUGUGUAAUGUAUAGUGAUCACUUACUUUAGAGUUAAAAUCCUACUUAAAGUCUUACAUCUCACAAAGCUGGGGUUCUGCUCUGGAAAGAACAGAGGAGGUUGUCCUCUGGGUGAAACUCUUAAAGAAUACUUUCAAGUUGCGCUUAAGUUUAAUUUGUGAGGGUCUCUGAGAUAUUGGUGCACUUCGCAGUGGUAAGAAAAGGAUGCCAUUUAAACCCUAUUUGGAGGACCUUCUCCCUUGGAGGUCCAAGUGAAUGCAUAGGGUUCAUUUUUAAUCCAUUAAAAAGUAUUAUACUCAUUUUUAAAGGUGUCUUAAGCCAUACUGCCUAUCACUUUUCCAGUUGGUCUGUGAGACACACGUGAAGCCAUUCUUAUUUCGUGGCAUCUCUGUGAGUUGAGAAAAAGAGUGACGACCAAAGCAGAUCGCUGGAAUGCCAAUUUACUUUCAAAUGUGACAGCAGAGGACGGUUAAGCUUAUGACCUUGUUGCACUGUGCUUGUGUAACUUUCCUUGGGAAUUUUUUUAAUCAGGUUUAUUUUCCCUUUGACUCCGAUUUCCAGUGCCCAGAAGUCUUCUUUUCAGCAGUGUUUAUGUAUUUAACAGCAUUUUCUGAGUUGGGCACCACAGAAUUUUCACAGCAUGGGUUCGUUGGACUAAGACUUUAUGUACGACUUAUAUCAAGUGGAAAAGUUGACGGACAUGAGCUUUAAAAAUGGCUUUUUGUGUGUGCUCUCUCUCCAUUUGAAGCUUUCGUCUGUAUUUCCUGUUGGGCUACAGUGUUUUGCCGUUAAGAGAACAAAGUCAACACUAAAAAAAUAAUUUUUUUCUUUAUUGAAGAAUAUGAGUUUCCAAGUAAAGUCAUUAUCAAAGAGACUGUCAUGAGAGAGGAAGGACCCUCCCUAAAGCCAAACAAGGAGAAAUGCGUUUUUGAAGACUGUCCUUUUGGAGAAAAAAAUGAGCAUGUUGUUGUGUAAUUCUGCCAUUAUGUUCCUUGUUGGUAAUCUCAUCACAGCCAGCAAUCGAAGGUCCUGGUCCAUAUUCAAAGGUUGGUAUUUAUAUGAACAUAAAAUAUACCUUUACAAUAUUUAUUUCCAUUUUCAAUGCUGUUUGCAACACACAACCCUUGAAUGCAGCAUAGUGGAACUUUAACAUUUAUUCAGAAAACAAAUAUUGGCUCCUCCUGUGAAAUUAGAUCUGGACUCGGCUAAGUUGAUCUUUGAAAUGGCAAGAAAAAUGCUGCCUUAAAUUAAUAUGAUUAGCAAGAUUUGCACUGGUGAGUCAGGUAAGGGAGAUAGUCUACACACCUGAAAGGGGUGAUGGAUUUUAUGUAAUUUAGGAGGGAACAGACCCUGCCACUGUCCUAGGCACUUAGAAUACUAGGCUCCUUUAAUAAGCUGGAAUAUCUUGGCAAAAUAUCUAUUAGGGAAAUACAUAUCAAUAAAUCCCUAUAAUAAACAUAACUAGUGUAUUUGAAGUAGGGUGGAGGAAAUAAUUAAGUCUAUUUCACUGUGUCAGGGGAAGCCUCGAAAGAGGUGGGCCUUCUGAAAUAGGGGAGAAGGGGACUUGGGUAAACCAUGACAAAUCAGGCUCUGGGGCGAAUACGUGGUUUAUGAGACUUUCUAGAAUGUGUCCUAUGGACUAUCUAAUGCUUGGCUU